GCCCAUGAGGAAUAGUUCAGUUGGUAGAGCAUGAGACUCUUAAUCUCAGGGUUGUGGGUUCGAGCCCCAUAUUGGGCA